rnacentral:tRNA from 1 species
GGGCCGCUGGUCUAGUGGUAUGAUUCUCGCUUAGGGUGCGAGAGGUCCCGGGUUCAAUCCCCGGGUGACCCC